rnacentral:rRNA from 1 species
GAUGAACGCUGGCGGCGUGCCUAAUACAUGCAAGUCGAGCGAACGGACGAGAAGCUUGCUUCUCUGAUGUUAGCGGCGGACGGGUGAGUAACACGUGAUAACCUACCUAUAAGACUGGGAUAACUUCGGGAAACCGGAGCUAAUACCGGAUGAUAUUUUGAACCGCAUGGUUCAAAAGUGAAAGACGGUCUUGCUGUCACUUAUAGAUGGAUCCGCGCUGCAUUAGCUAGUUGGUAAGGUAACGGCUUACCAAGGCAACGAUGCAUAGCCGACCUGAGAGGGUGAUCGGCCACACUGGAACUGAGACACGGUCCAGACUCCUACGGGAGGCAGCAGUAGGGAAUCUUCCGCAAUGGGCGAAAGCCUGACGGAGCAACGCCGCGUGAGUGAUGAAGGUCUUCGGAUCGUAAAACUCUGUUAUUAGGGAAGAACAUAUGUGUAAGUAACUGUGCACAUCUUGACGGUACCUAAUCAGAAAGCCACGGCUAACUACGUG